UACGAAGGGGGCUAGCGUUGCUCGGAAUCACUGGGCGUAAAGCGCACGUAGGCGGCUUCUUAAGUCAGGGGUGAAAUCCUGGAGCUCAACUCCAGAACUGCCUUUGAUACUGAGGAGCUUGAGUCCGGGAGAGGUGAGUGGAACUGCGAGUGUAGAGGUGAAAUUCGUAGAUAUUCGCAAGAACACCAGUGGCGAAGGCGGCUCACUGGCCCGGUACUGACGCUGAGGCACGAAAGCGUGGGGAGCAAACAGG
rnacentral:rRNA from 1 species